rnacentral:rRNA from 1 species
GACGAACGCUGGCGGCGUGCUUAAUACAUGCAAGUCGACUUGCUUUUGAUUAGCAAUAGUCAAAAGAGAGUGGCGCACGGGUGAGUAACACGUAGAUAAUCUACCCUCAGGACUGACAUAAUGUAGAGAAAUCUGCACUAAUAUCAGAUGAAACAAAAUCCUGGCAUCAGAGAUUUUGUCAAAGUUUUAACGCCUGAAGAUGAGUCUGCGGUCCAUUAGGUAGUUGGCGGUUUAACAGACCACCAAGCCGACGAUGGAUAGCUGGUCUGAGAGGAUGAUCAGCCACACUGGAACUGAGACACGGUCCAGACUCCUACGGGAGCAGCAGUAAGGAAUAUUGCUCAAUGGGAGAAAUCCUGAAGCAGCAACGCCGCGUGGAGGAUGAA